GUCUCACAUGCAAAUAACCACACAUGGAUAUACACACUCAUACUUAGAACAGAAUCUAAAAGUCAUAUCAUGACUAUACUAUGGCUGAGAGCAAAAUGCACAUGAAGUUUUAGGGUGAGGCAUUCGAGCUCAUGGUUUACUUCUCUGACCCACAUCUUUCAGACAGAAGUUGGACAAACCUUGCUCAUUCUUUUUGCCAGCUAUGGAACCUCCAUAGUUAAGAAAGCGUUUGAAGGGACACAGACCACAAAGCCCUCUGAGUGCUGGCCCACAAUGUGAGCCGAAGCAAAAUACAUGAAACAAUAAAUCAGAGAGCUAUGCAUAAGUGAGGCUUGUGAGAAUGGGAGAUGGCCUCCGGGUCUGGGAGAUCUCAGGGCAGGCAAUGCCUACCAGGCCAGAGCCAUGGAACAGCAAUGCAGAGGGGAUCUCGGGAAGACAAUGAAAUCUGGCUGAUGGCUCAGCGAGGAAACAAAAUCCAAAACAAUGGAGGAAGCGAAGAAAGGCUCAGAGGGCACCGAUGCUGGAGGCAGAGGGGAGAGAAAUGGAGAGGGGCUGGCCGAAGGAUGUUCCAGAUGGCAGGUGACCCCUUGAGAAGCAAUGAUUCCAGGGAAAGGUGGCAGUGUGGUACAGCAAGUCCAAAUAACAGGACGCUUUGUAGUGGAAAGUGUAGUCAAGAUGAAAGACUACUUACUUAUUAUCUAUCUACGUGCUUUUGAGGAGAGAUCACUGUCCUUGCAUCUAAGGACAGCUUCUUGCUGAUCUUCAAAAGCAAAUACUCAUUUGCAGAGUCUGUUACAUACAACACUAAAAGCACAUCCUGCUGAUGAACAGUCUGAAUCACUACAGUGACCUGUGCAGUGGCAAUACAAGGGUCAAUUCCAGGCUACACCCCCAGGACCUUCUCAACACGGAGGCACAGAAUCCAGAAAACCUGAAGUAUCGACAGUAAGAGCUGACGCGACCACGGGGCUGCACAGUGUACCACCACGUCUUAUGCAACUGGAUUGACUUGGAUGAUGCUCAUGGGUGAUGCCAUUUCCUGCCUUGUGUGAAGAUGAAGAAACCAGGUCACAGUUAUUAUGUAACUUACUGGUGGUGUUUAGAUCCUCAGUGUCCCUCAAAGGUCCCAGGCCAGGGCACUGUUGAGAGGUGUGAGGAAAUUAGGUUGCUGAGUGAGGAGGUCCAGGAAACGUGAGCCCAUUUCCCUGUCAACCAAAGGUCAGAGAGCCGGGACUUCCUCUAGUUUCUUCAAGGUUAUCGUGUUUCCGCCUCAAACAAAGAUCCUACCUAGAGUUAGAGCGGAGAGUUCCGUUCUCUCAAGGUUAUUGUCAUUAGGGGCGGCUCAUAGCCAGCCUUUGUGCUUCAGGAAUAGAGAAGUAGAUGUGUUCUUACCUCAAACAAAAAGUCUAAGGAUCCCACUAAGUUCCAGUUCCCUUAAGGAGAUAACUCUGGAUUCCACCCAGAGAGUGGUUUGCCUACUGUUUUGGUCUAGGGUGUGAGCGUGACUUAUUUUGUUCUAACAACAGACCGUUUAACUAUGGUGGCCCGCGACCUUCAAUUGGUAUGUUCAGUUCCUUGUUUCAUGGUAAGUUAACGCAGUUUUUUGUCUUACUCCUACCUUUUGGAGUCAGGGGUAUUUUAAGCAGUUAGAAAUUAAGUAAGGGUGAAUUUCAGUACUCACUAGAGUUCCCUCCUGAUGCUAUCCUAUAUUUUUCUCUGUUUUAUUAUUUUCAUUCCUGUCUUUAUAUUCUUCGCUAUAUUUCUAAAUCCCCACACCUCUACCCUGGCAAGAAGUAUUUUUGUCAGGACUGGUCCCCAACAACUGAGGCAUGCUGUUUAAGGGCAUAACGAGGGGCUCCCUCCGUCCCCUCUCCUGGCAAUGAGGUGAGUGGUUUUGCUCUGCCACCCUCUUUCCUCUGCUUAGUCUUCACACUGCAGCCACACUAUCCUGACUCACCAGGAGCUCAGAAGCAAAAGCUGGGGCUGGUGAGAUCAAUAAGUGUUUGUCAUGUGAGCGCGAGGACCCAAGUUCAAUCCCCAGAACCCAAGUUUAGCACCCAAGUUUAAAAAGAAAGAUGGACAUUUAGUAGCUUAAUAUCUAAUACGGCAUUGAUGCCAGGGGACAGGAAGAGCCUGAGGCUUGCCCAGUCUAGCCGAAUCAGUGAGCUCCUGAUUCACUGAAAAACCCUGUCUCCAAAAAUAAGGUGGGAAGCAAUUAAGGAAGAGACACACACACACAACAUACACACAAUACACACACAUACCUACAUACAUGCAGACACAUGCACAUACCCCAGACCUGACCAACCAAUCACGAACUGAAGCAAGCAAACAAAAUAAACCUAGGAGCCAAAAAAAGGCCUUUUUGUCUGUGUAAACUGGUUAUUUUAGAUGUCACAGGGCUGGAAACCUGAAUUCACGGUUUCAGUGGCUGAGUUCAGCUGGGCUAUGUUUGUCUGUCACAGAGCUGCCUAGCUGUUCUGCCUUCUGCUGCAAGCCCAGUCUGCUGCCUGGCUUCCAUCUUGAGAGCAUCACUAGUUAGUAGGCCGUGCCCACGAAUGAGAGCUGUGCAGCAGUCUAGUCUUUAAACAACGGGGGGGGGGGGGAA